ACAGUCACACAUUAGAUACCCGUGUAGUCCUGGCCGUAAACGAUGUGGACUUGGUGUUGGAAUGGCUCCGAGCUGCUCCAGUGCCGGAGAGAAGUUGUUAAGCCUGCUGCUUGGGGAGUAUGUCCGCAAGGAUGAAACUUAAAGGAAUUGGCGGGGGAGCACCGCAACGGGAGGAGCGUGCGGUUCAAUUGGAUUCAACGCCGGACAACUCACCAGGAGCGACGGUUACAUGAAGGCCAGGCUGAUGACCUUGCCUGAUUUUCCG
rnacentral:rRNA from 1 species